UACAGAGGUGGCAAGCGUUGUUCGGAAUUACUGGGCGUAAAGGGCUCGUAGGCGGCCAACUAAGUCAGACGUGAAAUCCCUCGGCUUAACCGGGGAACUGCGUCUGAUACUGGAUGGCUUGAGAUUGGAGAGGGAUGCGGAAUUCCAGGUGUAGCGGUGAAAUGCGUAGAUAUCUGGAGGAACACCGGUGGCGAAGGCGGCAUCCUGGACCAACACUGACGCUGAGUGAGCGAAAGCCAGGGGAGCAACGGG
rnacentral:rRNA from 1 species